AAAACGACUCUCGGCAACGGAUAUCUCGGCUCUCGCAUCGAUGAAGAACGUAUCGAAAUGCGAUACUUGGUGUGAAUUGCAGAAUCCCGUGAACCAUCGAGUCUUUGAACGCAAGUUGCGCCCCAAGCCUUCUGGCCGAGGGCACGCCUGCCUGG
rnacentral:rRNA from 1 species